CCUCUGGCAGCUGUGUUGAAAAUAGACUGAAGAGAGACAAGGUUGAAAACAGGAAGAUGGCUAGGAGCCACUGCAAUGGUCCGGGCAGGGGAUGGACUCGGGCCAAUCAAUGCGAUCUGAAAUUAUAGGAAAGAAGACUAAGCCCGUCGCAUGUUAGUCACCAAAUUGUUUAGCUAUAAUCACAAUGAUCAUUACCUUUACUGAUAAGUCUCCACACUCAGGUCAUGAUCACCUGUCACCUGUAAUGACUACCUGCUGUCUCAAAACAGCCUUCCAGGUCUUUUACAUGGAACCUCGGUCAGUUUCACAGCUCAGCCUUCCAGGCUGCUCCCUUAGCCACAAUCCUCCCCCUUCACCAGCUGACAUAGCUUCUUGCUGCCAUGUACAGAGCCUUGGGAAGCUGCAAGGUCCUCGGGGAGAUGCAUGGAGUGGCCUCAACAGUCAGGAAUAGGCUGCAUUAUUCAAAAGGAAAAGGAGAACCAAAGUAGCCUCACAGGCCCACCCUGAGAGGGAGUGAUGGUGAUAUUUACCAGUCCAAGAGGAUCAGAGCAAACACAUACCCCACCUUGAUUAUUUGGUCAAUGCUGUACAAAUCACACUCACCUACAUUAGCUUACUGAUUCUUCCAGCAACUCUGUAGGUUAGGUGUCACUAUCUCUAUCCUAUAGACAAUGAAACUGAGGCCCAGAGUCACAGGUGACUAUAUCACAUGUCCC